GGAGAAGCCUGAGGGAGGAACCUGCCCUGGCACUGUGGAGGAUCUGGGAGAGCUCCAGCCCUGCUGGAGCUGAGCCCCCCGGGCAGCCCCAUGGACUCUCCCCACCUCCUGCACUUGGGAUUCCUGCUCCUGGCUCUUGCUGCUCCCCCUCCAAGUAUUGCCAUGUCCAAUGUUGACCCUACUAAGGGGACACAAGGCAGCACAACUAUGGCAGUCUACUACUGUAAGGACUAUGAAAGCUGCAAAUGCAAGAAUGGGAAAAUCAAUUUUGAAAACUUUACAAAAAUCGCUGAAAUAAAAAACAAGAUAAAUAUUAUUCCAGAUGUAACAGUUGAGUUGGUGACCAACAAAUCACAUAUCACUGUUUGCUUUGAGCAAGCAAAUUCCCAUCUUGAAGGAAUUUAUGGCAUCUUCUCGGAUGAAACUGAUCCACCAAAACUCUGGUGUGGCAUCCUGAAUUCUGGAGGGUUUUUUUGGCAACAGCCAUUCCCAUGAUGAAAUUGUGUGCCACGUUGCAAUGUGUGAAUCCCACCUGCUUCAGCCAGAACACACCCAGAGCCAGGUCCAGCCUCAAGAGCUACUCUGUGCUGCUCUUCUGUCCAAUUCAAUAAACACCCAGGAGCAUCUUUCCA
rnacentral:lncRNA from 1 species